GACGAACGCUAGCGGCAGGCCUAAUACAUGCAAGUCGAACGGUAGAUCGGGUAGCAAUACUUGAUUGAGAGUGACGUAAGGGUGCGUAACACGUAUGUAAUCUGCCCAUCACAGGAGGAUAGCCCGGAGAAAUUCGGAUUAAUACUCCAUAAUAGAAGAUAAAGCAUUUUAUUUUCUUGAAAGUUCCGACGGUGAUGGAUGAACAUGCGACUGAUUAGUUUGUUGGUGAGGUAACGGCUCACCAAGACUACGAUCAGUAGGGGUACUGAGAGGUUAAACCCCCACACUGGUACUGAGACACGGACCAGACUCCUACGGGAGGCAGCAGUAAGGAAUAUUGGACAAUGGCCGCAAGGCUGAUCCAGCCAUGCCGCGUGCAGGAAGACGGACCUAUGGUUUGUAAACUGCUUUUGAACGGGAGAAAACCCCCUACGUGUAGGGGGCUGAUAGUACUGUUAGAAUAAGCAUCGGCUAACUUCGUGCCAGCAGCCGCGGUAAAGUG
rnacentral:rRNA from 1 species